rnacentral:rRNA from 1 species
CACGAACGCUGGCGGCAGGCUUAACACAUGCAAGUCGAGCGCCCCGCAAGGGGGGCGGCAGACGGGUGAGUAACGCGUGGGAAUCUACCCAUCUCUACGGAAUAACGCAUGGAAACGUGUGCUAAUACCGUAUACGUCCUUCGGGAGAAAGAUUUAUCGGAGAUGGAUGGGCCCGCGUUGGAUUAGCUAGUUGGUGGGGUAAAGGCCUACCAAGGCGACGAUCCAUAGCUGGUCUGAGAGGAUGAUCAGACACACUGGGACUGAGACACGGCCCAGACUCCUACGGGAGGCAGCAGUGGGGAAUAUUGGACAAUGGGCGCAAGCCUGAUCCAGCCAUGCCGCGUGAGUGAUGAAGGCCCUAGGGUUGUAAAGCUCUUUCACCGGUGAAGAUAAUGACGGUAACCGGAGAAGAAGCCCCGGCUAACUUCGUGCCAGCCGCCGCCGUAAGAC